CUUCAUCCUGCUUGUCUAAGCAAAGACAACAGUUCUUCUGUUGUCUUAUUUUUUGCUCCCACUUUUUCACCUACAUGAGCCACACCCUCUUCUCCAAAUGGGGUGGCUGCAAUCCCUCCUCUCUCCAUUGAAGAAACUGUGGUUCCGUUUACAUUCAGCUCAAAAGAAGAGAAGAGGGAUAUACAUUUUGUAUGAGGAUGUCAAAUCCUGCCCCUAUGAAGAUGUGCAAGUGUUAUGGUCAAUAUUGGUGGAGUCGAAUGCAUCUUCCUUGCCCGCUAAACAGUGAAGGCCCUUCUGAGGGGUCGACUUUCUAAAGCAACAAUACUGAGAGUUACUCCACUCCUGUACAUAAAAUAUUUAUGAUGUUUUAUACUCUAUGAAACAGUUUUUACUUUGUCUCUUUUAUUCUCAACUUCCCUUUUGGAAAUGCAUCAGAUACCAGAAUAUGAGUCAUACUUUUUUGUUC